AUCUAAAUAAAGGGUCCCAAACAGGACGAAAUGUAUAUUUUAGAU
rnacentral:hammerhead_ribozyme from 1 species